GCCUAUACACCUACCGAAAAGAAAUUAGAUCUACAUGGAGUGAAUAAAGUAUUACAGCUUGACAAUGGAAUUGGUAGAGACAUUAGCGGUCCUCUUGUAGACUCACUUUCUGUACUAGAUGUAAUUGAUGCAAAUAGACGAGCAGGACCUGACAGAAGAAAUUCAGCUGUCUCUGGAAUUAUAAGAAGCUCCUCAUUUCAAAGGUCUGCUAGUGUAUCAAGCAAUGAUGGUAUAAACAGAAACUGUCAUUAUGAGUGUGGAGUAGAUAAACUUUGUAAGCUAGGACAGAAAUGUGUACGCGAUGGAUGUGACAGUUAUUGUGUUCAAGUAUCAUCUGGGAGUAUUAUUGGUGAAUCUGGAUUGUCGGGGUCUAUAAGAAGUGGAACUGGAAAUACAGUUUCAGAAAUUAUUAGAGGUUCAUCAUCUGACAUUUCAAGACUGUCAAGCAUUGAUGGUUCAAAAUGCAGUUAUGGAUGUGGAGAAAAUAAACGAUGUGCAUCAGGACAUAAAUGUAUUCACGAAGGAUGCAACAGCUAUUGCGUUCAAUUAUCAUCUGGUAGUCUAAUUGGUUCAGGUCAGUCUUUAACCGGAUGUGUGGGUCUAUCUAACAAUGGUCAUUUGGAAACUAUUGGUAGCAGUGGUUCAAUGACUGGUCACACAGGUUCUGAUAUUCUUGACGCUAUCUCAGCUAGACGAAGUGGCAUUAAUGCAUUUGACACAAUUACAUCUAGACGUAGUGGAAUGGAUGCAUUGGACACAAUUUCUUCUAGACGAGUAGGAUCAGUUGGAUCAUCUGGUUCAAUUAUCGUUUCUCAGUCAGUAAAAGGAGGCCGCAGUGAAUGUAGUAAACUAUGUCAUACUGAUUCAGAUUGUCCAACAACCAAAUACUGUACCACUGUUAAAUGUCACAGGCUUUGUAGAAGAAGGCCAUCUAAAGGUUAUUCAGGAUGAAUAUAAUAAGAACUUUGAAGAAAUCCACAAUUUUUUUACCCAAAUUGUUUUUUUUUUUU
rnacentral:lncRNA from 1 species